rnacentral:snRNA from 1 species
AGCUUUGCACAGUGGCAGUAUUGUAGCCAAUGAGCUGUAUCCAAGGCAUGAUUAUUGCUAAUUGAAAUUCA